rnacentral:rRNA from 1 species
UCACACAAGAGACCCAAGUUAAUCGUACACGGCGUAAAGAGUGGACCCAUGAUAUCACAAUAAUUAAGGCUAAAACGUAACUGAGCUGUCAUAAGCCCAAGAUACACUUAAAAUCACCCUAAAAACGGCCUUAACCUACGCGAUUAAUUAAAUUCCACGAAAGCCAGGGCACAAACUGGGAUUAGAUACCCCACUAUGCCUGGCCUUAAAUCUUGAUGCUUGCCCUACUAAAACAUCCGCCCGAGAACUACGAGCACAAACGCUUAAAACUCUAAGGACUUGGCGGUGCCCCAAACCCACCUAGAGGAGCCUGUUCUGUAAUCGACAACCCACGAUACACCCGACCACUUCUUGCCAAAACAGCCUAUAUACCGCCGUCGCCAGCUCACCUCUCCUGAGAGCCCAACAGUGAGCACAAUCGCCCUAACCCCGCUAACAAGACAGGUCAAGGUAUAGCCUAUGAAGUGGAAGAAAUGGGCUACAUUUUCUAACCUAGAAAACCCCUCCUUAAACGAAAGGGAGUGUGAAACAACUCCCAGAAGGUGGAUUUAGCAGUAAAGUGGGAUAAUAAAGCCCCCUUUAAACCGGCUCUGAGGCACGUACAUACCGCCCGUCACCCUCCUCACAAGCUCUAACCCCUAAUAAAUAAUACACCCCCUUGCCAAAGAUGAGGUAAGUCGUAACAAGGUAAGUGUACCGG